GUGGCCAGAGGAGGACAACAGACUUCCAGACGGAAUGGAGGAAUGAUUUGGGUAACAUCUGAAACGCAGUCGCACAUCAACAAGCAAACGGGCUCCCGGGACGUGGUGGCGGCCUCUGUGGACUCGGUGUUGCUGAUGGCGACUGAGAGGAACCGGUGGGAGCGCCUCCCGAGCCCGCUGCUGCCGCCGAGGUAACGGUUGCGGUCCGGCUCAGGGGCGGAGGAUGUUUGGCCUGCCAGCGCAGAGAGAUCCAAACAGCAAUCCUGGCACUUGACUACCAUAUGGAAACAACUUGUUAUGACUGCAUUGUGGAAAUGGUGUUCAAAAUGAAACACACAGCAUACAAGCUGAAAUAGCACUUAUAGUUGUUGGUAUUGCAGGGAGAGCAUUCAAUAUGUUAAAUACAAGAUAUCUUUGUUGGGUUGCUUUCUGCCUUAAUGUCAAUCAAUAUGUUGGAAGUUAUAAAGAAGUUCAAAUUCUGAUGAAGAAGGAAGAAUUGACCUAUGAAACGGUCAAUAUUUUAUAAUAUUUUUGAAAAGGGUGGUGACAGAAAGAAAGAGACAUUAUCAAGAAGGAAUUCAUAUAAGGGAUAAACCACAUUUUGAUUACUACCAACCUACUGAAUUGGCAGUGGAGGUUGAUUUGGGAGCAAAGCUGUGGCCAUAAACAUUGAAGAAGACGAGCAGAUUCUUCAUGACAUUGAGACUUUCUACAACACCACAGUGGAGGAAAUGCCAAUGAAUGUGGCUUACAGCACUCGCUCUUGUGGACUAGGUGAUAACAACGUGCAUUGGGCUCUUUUAUUUGGGAAUAUUUGAAGCUUGUCUCAAAGCUCAUAACAGAUCAGAAAUACAGAAUUUUGAUAGAAUGCUACUCUUACUCAUGAGCUCAUAUGAGGAAGGUCAUUGGCUUUAUCGUCUUUAGAAUUAGAAUACUGAAGUUGGAUAUGAAAGGUGGGAUUGUAAAAAUCAUUCUUAGAAGUUUAUUUCCUAGUUCUGUGAAAAUUGUUUUAUAUUGAGUGUUCUCUGUCAUCUAACACUAUACUUGUGGACUGGACAAUAUGUGCUGUAUAAAAGGAGCCAAUUCUAUUAAACUAGUGUAUCUAC